GGGAGUGAAAUAGAACCUGAAACCCUGCACUUACAAGCUGUGGAAGCACAUUUCUUGUGUGACCGCGUACUUUUUGUAGAACGGGCCAACGAGUUACGUUAAGUAGCAAGGUUAAGCACUUAAGGUGUGGAGCCGUAGCGAAAGCGAGUUUUAACUGAGCGUUCAGUUACUUGACGUAGACCCGAAACCGGGCGACCUACCCAUGAGCAGGAUGAAGCGAAAGUAAAAGUUCGUGGAGGUCCGAACCCACGAGCGUUGAAAAGCUCGGGGAUGACUUGUGGGUAGCGGUGAAAUUCCAAUCGAGCCCGGAUAUAGCUGGUUCUCCCCGAAAUAGCUUUAGGGCUAGCCUCAAGGUGAGAGAUACGGAGGUAGAGCACUGAAUGUCCUAGGGGGUAUUGCACCUACCGAAGACUAUCAAACUCCGAAUGCCGUCAUCUU
rnacentral:rRNA from 1 species